rnacentral:rRNA from 1 species
AUACGUAGGUGGCAAGCGUUGUCCGGAAUAACUGGGCGUAAAGCGCAUGUAGACGGCAUGAUAAGCCAAAUGUGAAAUGUAGGGGCUCAACCCCUGCACUGCGAUUGGAACUGUCAAGCUUGAGUGCAGGAGAGGCAAAUGGAAUUCCCAGUGUAGCAGUGAAAUGCGUAGAGAUUGGGAGGAACACCAGUGGCGAAGGCGAUUUGCUGGACUGCAACUGACGUUGAGAUGCGAAAGCUAGGGGAGCAAACGGGAUUAGAUACCCCGGUAGUCCUAGCCGUAAACGAUGGAUACUAGGUGUAGAGGGUAUCGACCCCUUCUGUGCCGCAGCGAACGCAAUAAGUAUCCCGCCUGGGGAGUACGGUCGCAAGACUGAAACUCAAAUGAAUUGACGGGG